rnacentral:tRNA from 1 species
GAUCUUAUAGUUUAUAAAAAAAUUAUAAAUUGCAAAUUUAUAGAAAAUAUUAAUUUAUUUAAGAUCU